GGCGCAGUGGGUUGGACCGCAGUCCUGCUCUCCGGUGGGUCUGGGGUUCAAGUCCCGCUUGGGGUGCCUUGCGACGGACUGGCGUCCCGUCCUGGGUGUGUCCCCUUCCCCCUCCGGCCUUACGCCCUGUGUUACCGGGUAGGCUCCGGUUCCCCGUGACCCCGUAUGGGACAAGCGGUUCUGAAAAUGUGUGUGUGUGUGUGUGUGUGUGUGUGUACAUAAAAGAUAUAAGAGAUCUGUUUCAAGUUUCAGUUUCAGAUACGUGGACAAUAAUUUUCUUGUCAUGCUGGUUUUCAACCAAUGAGAUUAACUGGUGUUCAGUUACAGCAGGUAAAUUCGACAGGUGAGCAGUUCCUGGUGGACAUUUUCAUAGUCAGACACCGAUCUCCUCCAUACUAAAUAACAAUUUUGGAUAUUUACAAUACUUCCUAAGUCCAGGUCCUGAAAUGGAGAGUUGUGCCUCAGAAAUUAGUCACUCUGGAGAAUGUAAGGAAUGGGAACCAUCCUCAGAAAUGACUCUGAACAGAGUCCAACAGGAAAGAAGAGACUCACCUGAACCCAGCUGUGUGUCCAUGAAGAGUGACCGGUCAAUGGAACAACCUAUUCGUUUCCAACAGGGACAGGUUUCUACAGAUGGAAGAAAUCAGCUGAAGAGAUGUGACUCGGCGCAUCAACAGGUUGAUUUAUCAGCAGUUUUCAAGUCUCUUGAGGACAAAGCUGUGAAGUUCCUGAGAGAUGAGUUGAACAAGUUGAAGAGGAAUCUGAGUCAGGAUUACCCAGCAUGCCUUGAGCCCCAGGCUGACAAUGACCUGGACAGUGAAGCUGAGAUCCAGAAGAUGUGUGGCAGAGAGGGGGCUCUGAAGAUCACACUGUACAUCCUGAGGACCAUGAACCAGAAGGACCUCGCAGACACACUGGAGAAGAGUAAGAACUUUGUGUAUCUCUUUACAGUCUCAUGUAGCUUAAUUUUCUUUUGAAUUCGUUAUACAAUAAUACACCAGGAAAGACGUUCAACCCCUCGUGCCAAAAUCAAGGGGGCUGGACAUAAAACAACCAUGCCACCAAUACUCCAUCCCUCCCAAAACCCCACCUGCCCCUCACCCCACCCCAAUACAGCUCUCCCUAAAAAAAUCAGCCCACGUCAUGGGUAGGCACCACCCUCCUCGCUGGGAGCCACCACGAGCACGUCGCUGGGGUUGUCAAGUGGGCACCUUGCUUUGUUGAUGUUUCAUUGAAUUGAGCCCACGACACCUCCAGAAGGCUCAACAGCAAGAUCUGGCAUCCCAGACCCACCCCCCAUCCAUGCCUGCGGUGCCAUCCCAGCGGCUCCACCCACCAAAGAACCUCCCACCCCAGCCAUACGUUAGCCACCGACAAACCAACCAACACACCACAUCAGCACAUGGAGGCGACAGCAAGACUCACCAUUUGACAGUCACAUAAGCAAGUACUCCCUACUCAAGUCUGCUUCCCCCAAACAUUUUGCUGCCUCCUCAUCCACAACCACUGACUGGGUCUUUCUGCUACCUCCGACGAGUUUUUUAAUCACUGCUUUUAACGACUGACCCUUGAAACCAAAAUUCAACAGUAGUGACGUGCUUGAUUUUGCAACAAACCCUCUUGCACCAAUCUCCACCGGUCUAAUAAUGCACUGCCAGCCUUGUUCCCUCACCUCACUGGCCAACUCAAAGUACUUCAGUUUCUUCCUCUCAAAGGCAUCCUCCAGUGCGUCUUCGAAGGGUAUCGUUAACUCAAUGAAGUACACUACCAGUGCGCCCUCGGAGUACAGCACACUAUCGCGUCUCAAUGCCGUGACCACAAUGCACUGCGGUAUCUGCAGGUGUUUUCCCAUGUCCGCUAGCAACUUCCAGUCUCGUACUUCACCCCUUAAAACUCGUACCACCUCCUCCACGCCCGUGACAUGCACCACUCUCCCCCAUCCCGCACAAAAGAAAUUACCUUAUUUCUCCUGCCAUGCAGGAGAGAAUUGACCUCAAUCCGCUUAUUCUCCAACAAGCAUGCCAAGGAUUUUAGCACUUCAUUAUGCAUCCAAGCAUAUCUUCUCUGAGAUAAACUAACCUUGCACGCUGACAAAAUAUGUCUCAGAGGCUAUACCACCACGCAAGCUGCAAGUCGGCUUCGUACCUACCCAGCGACUAAGAUUCUGUGUAGUAGGAAGAACAUCAUAGGUGGCUCCAAUGAGAAACUAAUAUGACCGGCGUCCAUCGCCCACAGACCAUACCAGCCAAUCUUCCAUUUCUCCAUACACUCCCAAGUCAAACAUUGCCCCUGCACUCCAUGUGACGUCGCAGUUGCCCCCCUCGUCUACUGUUUCUGUUCCUGUUUGCGGAUAAAACCAAUCACCAGCUUCCUCCUCUCCGGCAGCUUAGCUUUAUUCCACAAUUUUAUCGGAUCACCGGCACCGAGCCCCGCCCUACCUGCCUGCACCUGACCGACCACAUCUCUGUGCUCAAGAGCUGCCUGUGCAUGCGCAACGACUCCCCCCGGAUUCCACUUGCGUCCUGUUUUAAUCUUACAAGAAUCAGUCUCACCACUGGGUCCCUUGUGCUUGACAAUAUCAAUUCUAAGCCAACCUUGGCACACUCAAAUUCUUCUACUAGAAUUGUCAGAGGCAACUCCAAGACCCCCUUUCCAUACAAAGCCACACUACUUGAACAAUGAGGAAGCCCCAACCAUCUCCUUAUAGCUUUGCUCAUAACACCUUUGAGUCUUUCCACCUCUGACAUCGAAACCUCGUAAACAAUUAGCGGCCACCUAAUACGAGGCAAUAGACCAAACUGCAAGCACCACACCUUCAGUUUCCCUGGUAAUAAAUAUUUAUCAGUCUUUUUAAUUGCCUGCA
ensembl:lncRNA